ensembl:lncRNA
GGCUGAGAUGUUGCUGAUGCUGAAAUAAACUAGGGUUUUGGCCUGCCCCAAGUCUGAGUGGUGCCUCCCCUUUCCAGGGGCAGCCCAGGGCUCAGCAGCCAGGCUCUGGGGCCUGAGUCUUGGGUCUGCCCUUUGUGCUUCACUGUAAGCUGGGACAGUAGUAAGAGGCAGGCACCCUGCUGUACCCACCUAGUCCUGUUCCACGAGCCUCUCCGCCAUCCUGUCUACUUGGCUUCCCUGCAGGCCUGGGGUGGGCUGGUGGGGGAGGGACAAGAAGGGGGAGGAACUCCAGGGUGGCAGAGCCCCAGCCUGAGCAUCCAAAGGAUUUUUGGGCCUGGGGCGUGGAGCCUGGCACUUUGCUUAGCCCCAUCCUGUAGCCUGGGGGAGCUGUGGAUGCUGGGGGGAGGGCAGGAGCCCAGAAACUUGAUACCUUUUCCUCUUCUUCUUGCAGGCAGCUGCUCCCUCUCCCACCUCAACACCUACUCUAUCUCCUAAAUAACGUCUCUCCUCCCCUUCCUUCCCUCCCAGCCUCCCAUUAGGCUGAACUGUCCCCUCGCUCGCCCCUAGCCUAGCCCUCCAGCCCCUUCCAGGAAGCCCCAGGGCCCCGUCAGUCCCCCUCCUCCCUGCAGCCUCCUCUCCAGGACCCUCAGGUGUCCCAGUCCCUGGGCUUCCCAUGGCAGGUCCCCACCAGAGGGUCCCUGAGCAGGAAGGAGGUUGGGGCUGUUCGGGACAUGGCCUCCUGGUCUGUUUCCCAGCCACCUCCCGGCUGCUGCUGUCCCCAUCUGGUCUCACUCGGGGGUCCCACCAUGGGUGGGCACCCUAGGUGGGACGGGUGAGCCAGCCGGGGUCCUGGGCUCUUCCUUCGCCAGCUCCUCAGCUCUGCGGACAGUCUGUGCUGCCACCUGCUGGCCAGGGCCGCCUCUGUCCUCCCGUUCCUCAACCCCAGCAGGGUCUGCGAUGCCCACCUCCCCAUGCAUCAGCCACACAGUCCUCCUGAGGUUAUCCUGCAAGUGGGAGAAGCCAGGCGUGGCCUCCGCGCCCUGGACUGGGCAGUCUUGCCCACUAAGGAUUGUGGGCGCUCACGUCCCAGGGGCAGCUUGUCAAGCCAGACCCCGAGGCCCAGGACAAGCAGGACAAGACAGAGCUGACUAUACACUCAGCAAGGGCACCUCUGCUCAGCAGUCCAUGGACCCUUCAGCCACAGUCCCUACAACCUCUCCCCCUUUCCUCUGGAUUCAAGAGACCUCUAAACAGGGUGGUUUUAAUUUUCCUGAAACCAUGGUCAAACAUGGAAGGUCUAAGAAAUGCCCCACCACACGACAACACACACUCGUAUUCGCUCGCUGUCUCGGCGGAGGGCACCGAUCAGCGCCAGUGAGAGCAUCACACCUGCGGCGCAGCCAGGGCCCAGCCAAGAAACUUCUCCACCGACAGCCGGUCCGCGGGAGGAGGGGGAGCGGUCCCUGGGUACUGCCGGGCGCUCAGCACUAUCACCAGCCUCCAACCUCUAGAUGCCAGCAGUAUUACCCACCCCGACUGCGACAAUGGAAAGAAAAUGUCUCUAGCAUUGCCAAAUAUCCCCGGGGGGGCCAAAUUGGCCCUCAGCUGCUUCAAGAACCAUUGCCCUACAGAGAUAAUGAAGAGAUGCAGUCACUUAGAACAGGGAAGAGCUGGUCAGGACUCCAACAAUAA